GAAGAAGGCUUUCUUCUGGAACCUCUUCUAGCAAUAAGGGAGACGAGGAGGAUGUAAACGUCGAUUUGACAGAACAGAAGAAAGCCAAUGACGUUUAUUCCAUUUGAAUCCAUGACCUCAAAACUUUCUAGACGUUCUUUUUUU